GCGUGCAGGAUUAAGGUCCUCUGGAUUGUAAACUUCUUUUAUAAGGGACGAAAAAAGGGAAUUCUUUCUCACUUGACGGUACCUUAUGAAUAAGCACCGGCUAACUCCGUGCCAUGCAGUCGCGCGGUAAUACUGGCAGGGUGCAAGCGUUAUCCGGAUUCACUGGGUUUAAAGGGUGCGUAGGCGGGUAUUUAAGUCAGUGGUGAAAUCCUAGAGCUUAACUCUAGAACUGCCAUUGAUACUAUUUAUCUUGAAUAUUGUGGAGGUAAGCGGAAUAUGUCAUGUAGCGGUGAAAUGCUUAGAUAUGACAUAGAACACCUAUUGCGAAGGCAGCUUACUACGCAUAUAUUGACGCUGAGGCACGAAAGCGUGGGGAUCAAACAGGAUUAGAUACCCUGGUAGUCCACGCCCUAAACGAUGGAUACUCGACAUACGCGAUACACUGUGUGUGUCUGAGCGAAAGCAUUAAGUAUCCCACCUGGGAAGUACGACCGCAAGGUUGAAACUCAAAUGAAU
rnacentral:rRNA from 1 species